CUGUCUAUAGCAACAGGAUAAAAUGGAUUGUGCAGUUCAUCCCAUUUUAAGACCAUGUCACACCAUGAAAAAGAAUGGUGGCAUAAGCAGUUAGUGUAAUUGCUUCCCAAACACAAUACCCCCUGCUGCCUGUACCCCAUUCUCCUUGUAUCAGUUUUUAUUGCAAAUUACAACAGUUUAAUACUGUACAUUUUCAGUAUUUUCUGUAAA